GUGGGGAAUCUUGCGCAAUGGGCGAAAGCCUGACGCAGCCAUGCCGCGUGAAUGAUGAAGGUCUUAGGAUUGUAAAAUUCUUUCACCGGGGACGAUAAUGACGGUACCCGGAGAAGAAGCUCCGGCUAACUUCGUGCCAGCAGCCGCGGUAAUACGAAGGGGGCUAGCGUUGCUCGGAAUUACUGGGCGUAAAGGGCGCGUAGGCGGACAGCUUAGUCAGAGGUGAAAGCCCAGGGCUCAACCUUGGAAUUGCCUGUGAUACUGGCUGUCGUGAGUGUGGGAGAGGUGAGUGGAACUCCGAGUGUAGAGGUGAAAUUCGUAGAUAUUCGGAAGAACACCAGUGGCGAAGGCGACUCACUGGCCCAAUACUGACGCUGAGGCGCGAAAGCGUGGGGAGCAAACAGGAUUAGAAACCCUGGUAGUCC
rnacentral:rRNA from 1 species